AGCGAACGCUGGCGGCAGGCCUAACACAUGCAAGUCGAACGAACCUUUCGGGGUUAGUGGCGGACGGGUGAGUAACACGUUGGAACGUGCCUUUAGGUUCGGAAUAACUCAGGGAAACUUGUGCUAAUACCGAAUGUGCCCUUCGGGGGAAAGAUUAAUCGCCUUUAGAGCGGCCCGCGUCUGAUUAGCUAGUUGGUUGAGGUAAUGGCUCACCAAGGCGACGAUCAGUAGCUGGUCUGAGAGGAUGAUCAGCCACAUUGGGACUGAGACACGGCCCAAACUCCUACGGGAGGCAGCAGUGGGGAAUCUUGCGCAAUGGGCGAAAGCCUGACGCAGCCAUGCCGCGUGAAUGAUGAAGGUCUUAGGAUUGUAAAAUUCUUUCACCGGGGACGAUAAUGACGGUACCCGGAGAAGAAGCCCCGGCUAACUUCGUG
rnacentral:rRNA from 1 species